CGCGGGCACCGCCCCCCAGCCCUACCCAAAUAACGAGGCGGCAGCCGGAUGGAUCUCGACGUUUAUUUUCCAAAUCAAAUCUCCAAGAGGCAUCAGCAGAAAAAGAAACAGCUCAGGCUCUGCAACAGUACAGCUGUCAGUAUAUCCAACAGUACGAGAGAAUCAGAAAGGAAAGGGAGAGCUUUGGAACUGAACACCGUCGGUACUCACAGAGCAUAAGCAUUAAUGGGCUGAUACUGCAGAUGGCAGAGAACUCUUAAAGGCCACACUCCUCCAACAGCUCUACUAGCAAAAAUGAAGCCUUUUUAGAAAAAAAAUAAAUAUAAGGAAGACUUUUUUUGGUAUUUUUCAUUUUCAUAUCCACAACGUAACACCUUCUGCUAUAUCAUGAUCCCUGCCAUUGCCCUCGAAGAUCAAGGUCUGCGUCCUCAAGAAGGCUGAAGGAACUGGGCACAGGAGCCAGCAGUCCUGCAGCCAGAUGCAGUGUCAGAGAGAGUCCAUGGUUCUAACCAGACUUGAAGAGAAGAAUAGCGACUUGGCCGAGGUAGAAGUAGAUGAAGUGUUUGGUCUCAUGAGUCACGUAGCUGCCAAAGUUCCUUCCCACGAUGCAGUGCCAAGUAGGAUUGUAUUUCUUGUCAAAUUCCUUCUUGAUGUGCGCUGCGAUGUCCUUCUCGAUGUUGUACUUCUCCAGUGCCUGCGUAGCGCACUCCACAGCGUCCUGCUGCAUCUCCUCCGACAUGUCCGCGUUUUUGAUCACUGCCUUUCGGUCACUCAUGGUUGCCGUUCCACGAGCGCGGAGCAGGAGGAGCCCUCACGAAUCGGCGCGCAGCGGACCGGCGCAGGAAAGCGAACGCGCACCGCAGUCAGCCGCUCGCGCCGCCGUCGCGCCGGUUUAACCGACCCGCGCGCGUCGCACCCGCCUCCCGGUGCCUACAGCCCCGCCCUCUCCGCGCUGCCCAUCAGCCAUUGGUCAUCGUUGCGGCCGCUCCACGCGCUCAUUGGCUUCGAGCCGGCAGUCUCACGGCGUUUUACUCCUGCAUUUUCUUUCGGAC
rnacentral:lncRNA from 1 species